GUUUAACUGCUGGAAUGAGCAGGAAACAGAUUCUUCCCUGGAGCCUCAGGAAUGGAUCACAGCCCUGCCAACAUCUUGAUUUCAGACUCGGACAUUCUAAGCCAGAGAACCAGCCUAACCCAUUGCACUUCUGACUUACCGAACUGUGAGAUAACACAUGUAUAUGUUUUAGGUUUGUGGUAAUUUAUUACAGCAGUGAUAGAAAACUAAUACAAUCAUUUUCAUGUGGACCUGCUAGGGUCUUCCAUCAUAUCUUCUAACUGGUUGUUGCUUAUGACCUACACACAGCGGUUAAACUGUCAAUGAAAGAGAAGAAAAGAAAAUCAGUGCCCACUCAGAGGGAAACAGCCAUGGGAACUUUGACUUCUGGACUGAGCUGAAGAUUGUGUAAAAUGUGGAACACAAAGUUAGGAUACAAAAUGUAUUAAAAAUAGAUGUUAUGAAUCAGCAAUAAAGUUUACCCAAGGCAUUCAUUUCUUUAAUGGUUGCUCAGAAAACACA
rnacentral:lncRNA from 1 species